UUUUGGGGCAUCAAAAACCAUCUAAGUCCCUAAAUGGUUAUGACCACAAAAAAAAUCUGUCUCAGGAGUUGAAUGUUCCUUGGACUUAAACAUAACGUGCUCGCCAUUACACAGUCGCUCUCUCUUCCUCGGCCCAGGUUUGGAAUGCGAGGGAAAGAGUUUUUGGUGUAAAACGCACCAUUCCAAUUUAGUCAUUUGUGUAUUCCCUUUAAGUAUGUAGUUUCCAAUGAGGGUCUUUGGUAUAAAUUUGGUUCUCUUUUUUAAGGUUUCAACAUAAAAUUUUAAUUCAUUUGAUAUGUAUCAAUUCCCUUUAUUCUCAUAUAUACUGAAAUGUCCCACACUAGUCUUUGGUUUCAUAUAACCAGGUUUCAUAUUAUAAUUUAACAGUUUCCUUUGCCAAAGACAGUAAUUAAUGAAUGUAGACUGCCUAAUUGUGUCAUUUUCAUAGAUACAUAAUCAGAUUGAGAGAAACAGAUUUAAAAACUAAAAUAUCCAGAGAAGGUACGUUUCUUUUUCUGCAUCAUUCUAACCCAUGUUUUAAGUCCCUUACCACUUGAUUAACCAAAGUUCCCUUUAAAAAUUUUUUUGUGUGUGUAGGCCUGAAUGAAGCAGCUUAGCAAAACAGUAAUACUGACAAGACGUCAUCUUAUACCAUUAGCUAACAUGGACAUGAAGGCAGUGACCAUCUACAGUGUGGGAAAUGCCACAGGAAGUCAUCAACAAGGGAGGAGACUUAUGUCAGUCCAAUUUCUUCAAGGACACUACGUGGGGUUUCAGCUUCCUGUGGAGGGAAAAUGUGAGACUCUGGUCUCAGGGCUUUCACAAUAGAGUUUGUAAAGGAGCCCCAGUGGAAUGAUGCAGCACUCCCAAGAAUCACGUAAGCCAGUCUCCCUUCUCCUGUUUAGCCUCAGACACUAAAUAUACCGUACUGACUUCUGAAUCACAUACAUCUUAAAGGAAACAAAUUAAAAAUAAUCAUUUACAUUUAGGCCUCUGUAACCGGUCCAUUUACAUGUGGACUUUCUACCAUAUAGUAACUAUUUUCCCUAGGAUUUUUACAUUUUUUUCUCUAUCUUACUCUAAGAAUGUGGUAUAGAAUACAUAUACAAAGCAGGUGUUAACUGAGUGUUGAGGUUGUCGGUAAGGCUCCCAGUGCACACCUGACUGGUAAGUUUUUGGGGGAGUCAAAAGCUGUAUGUAGAUUUUCAAUUGCCUGGGGGGCUGGCACGCCUAACCCACUUGUUCAAAGGUCAACUGUAAUGUUCAAUCGUCUUUAAAAAUACCAUACAGCCUUUACUACAUUAGAGGAUGCCUGCAUUGAAUCCUAUACGGUUAACCACAUCAGAGUGCCUCCCAUUCUCUUCCCUGGAUCUGAUCAGAUUUCCCGUAUGACGUCACUGCCUGCAAUCCUAUACGGCAUUUCUUGAAGAGAACCAUGUUACGUGUCAAAUAUGCGUUGUUUAAAAUAUGUGUCCUUUCCAAAAGGCCUAGUUUAAAGGAAUCAUUUACACAUUUUAUUCCUUGAGACUUGUA